rfam:Nomascus leucogenys chromosome 13, whole genome shotgun sequence.
GGGGGUAUAGCUCAGGGUUAGAGCAUCCGACUGCAGACCAAGAGGCCCCCAGUUCGAUUCCAGAUACCCCCU